UUGGUUUCCGAGAAAAUAAAUAUAAACAAAUAGAAAUUGCAAAAGAGCAAUUCUCAGAUGUUAGCUUCGAAGUUGGCAAAUCUUCGGUCCAUGUGCUUGACCACAAAAUUGCAUUUCAGAACUUCCAAAAUACGAUGCCGAUUCAUAACAAUUGAGCUUAACUCAACAUUCAUUUUAACUUCAAGGGAACAAUGGGUUCUUGAGCAAUUCUGAGAUAGCUGAAGCAGAGAUGACAAAAUCGCAACUUGUUGCUGCAAAGGAGGAUUUGGACACAAGUUUGGUUUCUAACUACAAAUUGACAUCACAUUUGCAGAAGGAGCUUGAUAAUGUAUUGAUCAUAAGAAAUCAAGAGUAGGAAAGUUUCCCAGUUUCAGUGAAGACGAAGGUUCAAUCAAGUAAAACAAUCAGAUAGCUUAAACAU